GUAGGUGAACCUGCGGAAGGAUCAUUAACACGUAUCCGACGUUAAACAACCCUGUGAACCUUGAACGUGCUCUCGUACACGCUCUAGCAGCAAUCCCUGGUAAAUCAUUGUUGACCAGCUAUUGAGUCUGGGACUUCUGCUAGAAAACCAUACGAUACGAGCGCCAGAGUAAGUGCGGCCUGGCACUGUCAGUGGUUGCGCAAGGAUGGCGCAGUAAACGAUCGCUGUAGGCCCACACGGCCGGCGACCGGGCCUCUGUGCUUCGGCACCUAAUGACACCAGUUUUCUGACCCGGUGCGCGGUAACAACCGCACCACAAACUCGAACAACUGUUAACAAUGGAUAUCUUGGUUCUU
rnacentral:misc_RNA from 1 species